rnacentral:rRNA from 1 species
GAGUUUGAUCAUGGCUCAGAGUGAACGCUGGCGGCAGGCCUAACACAUGCAAGUCGAGCGGCAGCGCGGGGGCAACCCUGGCGGCGAGCGGCGGACGGGUGAGGAAUGCAUCGGAAUCUACCUCGUUGUGGGGGAUAACCUCGGGAAACCGGGACUAAUACCGCAUACGACCUACGGGUGAAAGUGGGGGACCGCAAGGCCUCACGCGAUGAGAUGAGCCGAUGCCGGAUUAGCUAGUUGGCGGGGUAAAGGCCCACCAAGGCGACGAUCCGUAGCUGGUCUGAGAGGAUGAUCAGCCACACUGGAACUGAGACACGGUCCAGACUCCUACGGGAGGCAGCAGUGGGGAAUAUUGGACAAUGGGCGCAAGCCUGAUCCAGCCAUGCCGCGUGUGUGAAGAAGGCCUCGGUUGUAAG